UUUAAGUGCUACCAUGAGUUUUCAUGUGUAACUUUGAUUGUCCGUGUUAUUUAUUUUUUUUAUAAUUAGUAUUUUUAUUGUUAUAAGAUGAUAAAAUAUGAAUAGUACUUUAUACGUGACUUAUGUUCUCAAUUGUUUUUAAAAAAAUUUUAAAUAAGACAGACGGUCAAAGUUGGGCACAUAAAAUCAUGGCUGCACUUAUA
rfam:Oryza glaberrima chromosome 2 Oglab02_0022_3, whole genome shotgun sequence.